AUUGAACGCUGGCGGCAGGCCUAACACAUGCAAGUCGAGCGGAUGAAGGGAGCUUGCUCCUGGAUUCAGCGGCGGACGGGUGAGUAAUGCCUAGGAAUCUGCCUGGUAGUGGGGGAUAACGUCCGGAAACGGGCGCUAAUACCGCAUACGUCCUGAGGGAGAAAGUGGGGGAUCUUCGGACCUCACGCUAUCAGAUGAGCCUAGGUCGGAUUAGCUAGUUGGUGGGGUAAAGGCCUACCAAGGCGACGAUCCGUAACUGGUCUGAGAGGAUGAUCAGUCACAAUGGAACUGAGACACGGUCCAGACUCCUACGAGAGGCAGCAGUGGGGAAUAUUGGACAAUGGGCGAAAGCCUGAUCCAGCCAUGCCGAGUGUGUGAAGAAGGUCUUCGGAUUGUAAAGCACUUUAAGUUGGGAGGAAGGGCAGUAAGUUAAUACCUUGCUGUUUUGACGUUACCAACAGAAUAAGCACCGGCUAACUUCGUG
rnacentral:rRNA from 1 species